GAUGAAGAACGUAGCGAAAUGCGAUAAGUAGUGUGAAUUGCAGAAUUCAGUGAAUCAUCGAAUCUUUGAACGCACAUUGCGCCCCUUGGUAUUCCAUGGGGCAUGCCUGUUCGAGCGUCAUUUGUACCUUCAAGCCUUGCUUGGUGUUGGGUGUUUGUCUCGCCUCUGCGCGCAGACUCGCCUCAAAACAAUUGGCAGCCGGCGUAUUGAUUUCGGAGCGCAGUACAUCUCGCGCUUUGCACUCAUAACGACAGCGUCCAAAAGUACAUUUUACACUCUUGACCUCGGAUCAGGUAGGGAUACCCGCUGAACUUAAGCAUAUCAAUAAGCGGAGGA
rnacentral:misc_RNA from 1 species